rnacentral:rRNA from 1 species
UCGGAGAGUUUGAUCCUGGCUCAGGACGAACGCUGGCGGCGUGCCUAAUACAUGCAAGUCGAGCGGACAGAAGGGAGCUUGCUCCCGGAUGUUAGCGGCGGACGGGUGAGUAACACGUGGGUAACCUGCCUGUAAGACUGGGAUAACUCCGGGAAACCGGAGCUAAUACCGGAUAGUUCCUUGAACCGCAUGGUUCAAGGAUGAAAGACGGUUUCGGCUGUCACUUACAGAUGGACCCGCGGCGCAUUAGCUAGUUGGUGGGGUAAUGGCUCACCAAGGCGACGAUGCGUAGCCGACCUGAGAGGGUGAUCGGCCACACUGGGACUGAGACACGGCCCAGACUCCUACGGGAGGCAGCAGUAGGGAAUCUUCCGCAAUGGACGAAAGUCUGACGGAGCAACGCCGCGUGAGUGAUGAAGGUUUUCGGAUCGUAAAGCUCUGUUGUUAGGGAAGAACAAGUGCGAGAGUAACUGCUCGCACCUUGACGGUACCUAACCAGAAAGCCACGGCUAACUACGUGCCAGCAGCCGCGGUAAUACGUAGGUGGCAAGCGUUGUCCGGAAUUAUUGGGCGUAAAGGGCUCGCAGGCGGUUUCUUAAGUCUGAUGUGAAAGCCCCCGGCUCAACCGGGGAGGGUCAUUGGAAACUGGGAAACUUGAGUGCAGAAGAGGAGAGUGGAAUUCCACGUGUAGCGGUGAAAUGCGUAGAGAUGUGGAGGAACACCAGUGGCGAAGGCGACUCUCUGGUCUGUAACUGACGCUGAGGAGCGAAAGCGUGGGGAGCGAACAGGAUUAGAUACCCUGGUAGUCCACGCCGUAAACGAUGAGUGCUAAGUGUUAGGGGGUUUCCGCCCCUUGGUGCUGCAGCUAACGCAUUAAGCACUCCGCCUGGGGAGUACGGUCGCAAGACUGAAACUCAAAGGAAUUGACGGGGGCCCGCACAAGCGGUGGAGCAUGUGGUUUAAUUCGAAGCAACGCGAAGAACCUUACCAGGUCUUGACAUCCUCUGACAACCCUAGAGAUAGGGCUUUCCCUUCGGGGACAGAGUGACAGGUGGUGCAUGGUUGUCGUCAGCUCGUGUCGUGAGAUGUUGGGUUAAGUCCCGCAACGAGCGCAACCCUUGAUCUUAGUUGCCAGCAUUCAGUUGGGCACUCUAAGGUGACUGCCGGUGACAAACCGGAGGAAGGUGGGGAUGACGUCAAAUCAUCAUGCCCCUUAUGACCUGGGCUACACACGUGCUACAAUGGACAGAACAAAGGGCUGCAAGACCGCAAGGUUUAGCCAAUCCCAUAAAUCUGUUCUCAGUUCGGAUCGCAGUCUGCAACUCGACUGCGUGAAGCUGGAAUCGCUAGUAAUCGCGGAUCAGCAUGCCGCGGUGAAUACGUUCCCGGGCCUUGUACACACCGCCCGUCACACCACGAGAGUUUGCAACACCCGAAGUCGGUGAAGUAACCUUUAUGGAGCCAGCCGCCGAAGGUGGGGCAGAUGAUUGGGGUGAAGUCGUAACAAGGUAGCCGUA